rnacentral:sRNA from 1 species
AUGGCUGUCGUCAGCUCGUGUCGUGAGAUGUUGGGUUAAGUCCCGCAACGAGCGCAACCCUCAUUUUUAGUUGCCAUCAGGUUACGCUGGGCACUCUAAAAAAACUGCCGGUGAUAAGCUGGAGGAAGGCGGGGAUGACGUCAAGUCCUCAUGGCCCUUACGGUCUGGGCUACACACGUGCUACAAUGGUGGUGACAGUGGGCAGCGAUGUCGCAAGACACAGCUAAUCCCCAAAAGCCAUCUCAGUUCAGAUUGGACUCUGCAACUCGAGUCCAUGAAGUUGGAAUCGCUAGUAAUCGUAGAUCAGCAUGCUACGGUGAAUACGUUCUCGGGCCUUGUACACACCGCCCGUCACGCCAUGGGAGUUGGUUUUACCUUAAGCCGGUGCGCUAACCGCAAGGAAGCAACCGUCCACGGUAGGGUCAGCGACUGGGGCGAAGUCGUAACAAGGUAACCGUAGGGGAACCUGCGGUUGGAUCACCUCCUUUCUAAGGAUAUUGAUGAUUGGUUCGCCAAUUAUCCGGGUUGUUGUCUACUUAUCUCUUUAUCGUAUUAGCUAGUGCUAGGUGUUUCCUUAAUUUUACUGGGCCAGUAGCUCAGUUGGUUAGAGCGCGCGCUUGAUAAGCGUGAGGUCGGAAGUUCAAGUCCUCCCUGGCCCACCAUUAUUGCGGGGGGAUUAGCUCAGCUGGGAGAGCGCCUGAUUUGCAUUCAGGAGGUCGUCGGUUCAAUCCCGAUAUCCUCCACCAAACUAGUUAUUGUCUUAUUUGUUCUUUUAAUUUGUAAAUAUGAAACUAAUAACUGAUCAAAUAAAUUAAUUUUGAAUGAUUAAUAAAUUUUAAAUGAUUAAAAAUACGUACAUAAAAUUUUUCUCUGUACGUAAUUGCAAUCAAGCGCAAAAGGGCAUUUAGUGGAUGCCUUGGCAUCAAGAGGCGAUGAAGGACGCGGCAGGCUGCGAUAAUCUAAGGGGAGUUGUCAACACACUUUGAUCCUUAGGUCUCCGAAUGGGGAAACCCGG